GAUGAACGCUGGCGGCGUGCCUAAUACAUGCAAGUCGAGCGAACGGACGAGAAGCUUGCUUUUCUGAUGUUAGCGGCGGACGGGUGAGUAACACGUGGAUAACCUACCUAUAAGACUGGGAUAACUUCGGGAAACCGGAGCUAAUACCGGAUAAUAUUUUGAACCGCAUGGUUCAAAAGUGAAAGACGGUCUUGCUGUCACUUAUAGAUGGAUCCGCGCUGCAUUAGCUAGUUGGUAAGGUAACGGCUUACCAAGGCAACGAUGCAUAGCCGACCUGAGAGGGUGAUCGGCCACACUGGAACGGAGACACGGUCCAGACUCCUACGGGAGGCAGCAGUAGGGAAUCUUCCGCAAUGGGCGAAAGCCUGACGGAGCAACGCCGCGUGAGUGAUGAAGGUCUUCGGAUCGUAAAACUCUGUUAUUAGGGAAGAACAUAUGUGUAAGUAACUGUGCACAUCGUGACGGUACCUAAUCAGAAAGCCACGGCUAACUACGUG
rnacentral:rRNA from 1 species